AACUGCCUGGGGAACAGUGGGUUAACUGCCUGGGGAACAGUGCGUUAACUGCCUGGGGAACAGUGGGUUAACUGCCCGGGGAACAGUGGGUUAACUGCCUGGGGAACAGUGGGUUAACUGCCUUGAUCAGGGGCAGAACGACAGAUUUUUACCUUGUCGGCUCGGGGGAUUCCAUCCAGCAAGAACUGGUUUCUUACAGGUUCUGAGAUCCUAUACACCUGUGUGACACGGACGGCUACUUUGUGGUCAGUGGAGGUCAGUUUAUGAGAUGAAUUUUUGGAUUUUAUGGACCGUUGGUGUAGUAUCGUAACAUAAUAACUGACUUCAGGAUGGUAAGAAUCACAGUCAGACACAUUCAAAUCCAUCUUUAAUUAAACAACAUGUUAUACCUGUAUUCACUCGUCUCCCACAGUCUGAAGUCGUUGUUCCAGACCAUAUUAAGAGUCUGAAAUUGACUGGUUGGCUACAGUCCUGUCAGGAGUUUCAGUUGGAGCUUUCAUGUCAAGUUGACUGGAUAUUUAUUGAGAGCCAGACAGAAAUAAGAGUCUGGUAAUGAUGUGUAAUAUCCACUAGAUGGCAUGAUGGUGUAUAAAAUAUUUAGUGGCUCACAAAGUUAAUGUCACUCCAUCCAAACUGACACAACCUCUGUUUUCCAGAGAACUGUAUGGAUGCUUAUCAUGAGCAGACAUUAAAUAUCAUCUAGCUGUGACACCACACUGUGAACCCUGGGAGACACCCAGUGCCCCUUAAAGACAUUGUGCAGUAUGACUGCCAAAGCUACUGACCUCCAAGCACGGGGGCAGAAAGGUUGAUCUGGCAUCAGUGGGAAGAGCUCUGUACUCCUUGUCUCUUGUUUUAACUGUGUUAAGAGCACUGGAUCCACUCGACUAGUUAACAGGAUAAUGGCCCUUCUGCUGCAAGCUGGCUGUCUGAGGAACAACAGAGCUCUACACCUCAUCCGUGCUCUACAGCAGUGGUGCUGAAGUGGAGAGGCAGGCCAAUAAGGGCUGGUACAGUUGGUGUGCUUGUUCAAGAGGAACAGGGGUUACCGUUGUCCGUCCAGUCUGAACUGGGUCUGUCACAGCAUUACAUGGCAGAUAACACUGAGCUGGCGACUACACUUUACUGCAGAGACUCCAACGGCGCGGCUGAGUCCUACUUGCCCUGCAGAUUUGUGAUAUCCAGUGCAUAUCUGCAGUCUUUCCAAAAGACCAAGUUAUGUAUGAUGUUGGAAUAUUGAACUUGUAGUAUUCAACAUAGAUGUACAGUAUGAUAUGAAAAUUGAUAUUGGGUUGUCUUCUCUCCAGGUCUCUGGUACUGUGGUAGUUGCAGUUCCACCAAUCCUCUUCAUCAUCCCCUGUGUUCUCAGGGAGCGUGGCAUCAUGUCUUAUCAUCACUAGGUCCAGGAAGUCCAUCAAUCAGCCUAUCAUGUCUUAUCAUCACUAGGUCCAGGAAGUCCAUCAAUCAGCCUAUCAUGUCUUAUCAUCACUAGGACCAGGAAGUCCAUCAGCCUAUCAUGUCUUAUCAUCACUAGGACCAGGAAGUCCAUCAAUCAGCCUAUCAUGUCUUAUCAUCACUAGGACCAGGAAGUCCAUCAAUCAGCCUAUCAUGUCUUAUCAUCACUCGGACCAGGAAGUCCAUCAGCCUAUCAUGUCUUAUCAUCACUAGGAUCAGGAAAUCCAUGUGUCACACCCUGAUCAGUUUCACCUGUCUUGUGCUUGUCUCCACCCCCCACCAAGUGUCUCCCAUUUGUUCCCAUUAUCCCCUAUACCAGUAGUUUCUGUUUGUCUGUUGCCAGUUUGUCAAGCUUACCAGCAUGUUUUCCUGUACUUGUUUUUCUAGUCUGUUUUCUAGUCCUCCCGGUUCCGACCUUUUCUGCCUUCCUUGACCUCGAGCCUUUCUACCGUCCUGUACCCAUCUGACUCUGUCCUGGUUUACGAACUUCUACCUGUCCUCGACCUGCCUCUUGCCUGCCUUGUCUAUUAAUAAAUAUCAGAGACUUGAACCAUCUGCCUCCUGUGUCUGCAUUUGGAUCUCAUCCUGUGUCUUUAUACCAUCAACCUAUCAUGUCUUAUCAUCCCUAGGACCAGAAAGCCCAUCAACCUAUCAUGUCUUAUCAUCCCUAGGACCAGGACGCCCAUCAACCUAUCAUGUCUUAUCAUCACUAGGACCAGGAAGCCCAUCAACCUAUCAUGUCUUAUCAUCCCUAGGACCAGGAAGCCCAUCAACCUAUCAUGUCUUAUCAUCCCUAGGACCAGGAAGCCCAUCAACCUAUCAUGUCUUAUCAUCCCUAGGACCAGAAAGCCCAUCAACCUAUCAUGUCUUAUCAUCCCUAGGACCAGGAAGCCCAUCAACCUAUCAUGUCUUAUCAUCCCUAGGACCAGGAAGCCCAUCAACCUAUCAUGUCUUAUCAUCCCUAGGACCAGGAAGCCCAUCAACCUAUCAUGUCUUAUCAUCCCUAGGACCAGGAAGCCCAUCAACCUAUCAUGUCUUAUCAUCCCUAGGACCAGGAAGCCCAUCAACCUAUCAUGUCUUAUCAUCCCUAGGACCAGGAAGCCCAUCAACCUAUCAUGUCUUAUCAUCCCUAGGACCAGGAAGCCCAUCAACCUAUCAUGUCUUAUCAUCCCUAGGACCAGGAAGCCCAUCAAAACUACAAGGAAGAUGACUGUAUCAGGAGAAACUCCCAGGAAGCAAUUAUUUUCACAGAUUGUAUUCUCAGUUUACAGAUUUAGUUUUUAUAGCUAAAGAAAUGGUCUUUUGUGUUUUUAUCUUUGUACUAUCUUCAUUCCAGAUAAAACAAUGUCCAAAAUGUAAUGUAUAAAUUCAUUCCUAUGUACUGUAUGAUCAUGGUUUACAGAACUUUCUUUUGAUUGAGGUGUAUCAA